rnacentral:rRNA from 1 species
AUGGAGGCUUCAGCCUUCAAAGCCAUGCUGCACUUCAUAUACACCGACAUGAUGCCUGAACUUGAUCAGGAACUGGAGGCCGCGGCAACAAUGGCUCGGCAUCUUCUUGUGGCUGCUGACAGGUAUGAGCUGGAUAGGCUCAAAGUGAUCUGCGAGGGCAAGCUCUCCGGUGGCAUCACGGUCGACACAGCGGCGACGACUUUGGCUUUGGCUGAGCAGCACAACUGCACGCACCUCAAGGCCAAGUGUGUCGAGUUCAUCAUCAGCACUCCUGCGAUCCUCAAUGCCGUGGCGGCGACGGAGGGGUAUAAGUAUCUGGAGGCAAGCUGCCCUUCAGUGCUUACUAGCAUUGUCCUCUCUGUGCGUGGGAGAAGCCACUGA